GCUGCUGGCGCCUCUCGGCCGCAGCCGGGCCCCGCGCCCACUUUCACUUUCCGCGCCGGGGCGGCUCCCCGGAGUCCGCGCGGGUUCCCCUCUUGGCGGCGCGGGUGACUUAACGAAUCAGCCCGGAACCGUGUAGGGGGGAGACGGCUCUGUGUCAUCCCCCCACCAGGUGCAGCCUGUGAAGCCCAGGCCCAGCUGACAGUCCAGAGCGGCCCUGGGCACUUACCGCCCAUCAGCCCGGAGAGGGACUGCCUGCCCGCUGGGUUAGCAGCAUUCUCUCCGUCCUAGGUACUUGGAAUAUAACACUGAACAAAAUAGAUGUGGUCCCUUCCCUUGCGCAGUCUGCAGUAGAGCAGUGAAGACUCACAAUUGUGUAAGCAAGGGCAGUAAUGUGCAGCCAGCGCUCUGAUGGAGAAGGCCAGGCUCCACUGAGGACCCUGAGAAGCAGCUCUGACCCAGCCACCUGGCCUGGAGAAAGCUGUAGGAUGAGAACAUAUUUCCUGGAGGAAGAUGGUUCCAAGUGGGAUGUACCAUUGGCCUCGGGGACACUGAAAUUCAGAAAGUGGAGAUACAUGUUUAGCUGUGGAUGAAAGAAUCUGCUACAGUCUUGUACAAGGUACUACUUAUUAUAUAAAAAUCUAGAGAAUCUUGCUUUUAUUCAUUUGUUUUCAACUUUGGCUACUGUGAAUGCCCCUCUCCCAGAUUUGAUUAUAACCUCUAUGUAUAAAACCUAAAACAUACACUUUUUAAUCUUUAUUUUGCAUUUUUUAUUUGAUAAGCUAUUUGGCCCAUUCAUUUGUAAAGAAGUAAUGCAAUGUGUGUCUUAGUAGUUAAUAAAUUCCCAAACUAUGAAAUCUGAGGGUUUAUUCAAA